CGCUGGUUCAACUCCUGCUCCAAACACCAGAUUUCAUUUGUAUAUGCACUGUUCAUCCUUUUUCAUUGACCAGGUGGCUUGAUUGUUGUUUUGGCAAAGUGUGUCGCCGAAGCCACUAUGUUUUCUGCGUUUUUAUCUAUAAGCACCUUCAUAGCCCAGUUGGUAGAGCACAUGACUGUAAGAAGUUCCUGAAACGCUGUGGUCCAAAGGUCGCUGGUUCAACUCCUACUCCAAACACCAGAUUUCAAUGGUCUAUGCACUGUUCAACCUUUUUCAUUGACCAGGUGGCUUGAUUGUUGUUUUGGCAAAGUGUGUCGCCGAAGCCACUAUGUUUUCUGCGUUUUUAUCUAUAAGCACCUUCAUAGCUCAGUUGGUAGAGCACAUGACUUUAAGAAGUUCCUGAAACGCUGUGGUCCAAAGGUCGCUAGUUCAACUCCAGCUCCAAGCACCAGAUUUCAUUUGUAUGUGCACUGUUCAUCCUUUUUCAUUGACCAGGUGGCUUGAUUGUUGUUUUGGCAAAGUGUGUCGCCGAAGCCACCAUGUUUUCUGCGUUUUUAUCUAUAAGCACCUUCAUAUCUCAGUUGGUAGAGCACAUGACUGUAAGAAGUUCCUGAAACGCUGUGGUCCAAAGGUCGCUGGUUCAACUCCUGCUCCAAACACCAGAUUUCAAUGCUCUAUGCACUGUUCAACCUUUUUCAUUGACCAGGUGGCUUGAUUGUUGUUUUGGCAAAGUGUGUCGCCGAAGCCACUAUGUUUUCUGCGUUUUUAUCUAUAAGCACCUUCAUAGCUCAGUUGGUAGAGCACAUGACUUUAAGAAGUUCCUGAAACGCUGUGGUCCAAAGGUCGCUGGUUCAACUCCUGCUCCAAGCAACAGAUUUCAUUUGUAUAUGCACUGUUCAUCCUUUUUCAUUGACCAGGUGGCUUGAUUGUUGUUUUGGCAAAGUGUGUCGCCGAAGCCACUAUGUUUUCUGCGUUUUCAUCUAUAAGCACCUUCAUAGCUCAGUUGGUAGAGCACAUGACUGUAAGAAGUUCCUGAAACGCUGUGGUCCAAAGGUCCCUGGUUCAACUCCAGCUCCAA